ACUUCUUAUCUUGUUUUGUUUUGCCUCUGCAUAUAACGAACAGAGCUGCGAGGAGAAAAUAAUCCGUAUAAAAGCUUCCGGGAGAUUGAGUAAAUUCCAUUUUUCAGGUACCUCUCUCGUUGCUAUUUUCUGUCUACUGUUCGUUGUAACUUAAAUCUAACUGUACUUUCAACACCAAAAAGGCUCUUCAGUGGACUAUAAAUAAUUCUUCAUUCUUGAGGAAAGGAAACUCAUCUUCAAGGUGUUGAGCUACUUCUGGAAAGAUGGCCAUGAUUAGAGAAAGAAGAAAGAUGGAAAGGUAGUGAAGGAGGCUCAUGAAAGGCUCAAGGACUUAAGAUGAGGGCUUGGACGAGGAACAAGGUGAGACUCUUUGUGGUGCCUAUGGAGAGAACUAUGCGUCAGAUGAAUUUUGGAUAUGCUGUGAUGUAUGUGAUAAGUGGUUCCAGUCAAGCGCAUGAAGAUUACACCAGCUCAAGCCGAGCAUAUCAAAGCAGUAAGAGUGUCCGUCGUGCAGUAACAAGAUGACCCUUGCUUGAUGUGGAAUAUUAAUCAUACUACCUGAACUCUUGAUAAACAUUUCAUGUCUUUGCUGUUUAAGUCAUUUCUUGUUUGGUGUUACAUAUAGAAUUAACUUUGAGAAUGGUACUCUUGGUUAUGGACCGAAUAUUAAUACUUGAAAAAUGUGCAAUACAAUUUU